rnacentral:lncRNA from 12 species
CUAUAGGGGUCUGUAGGGGUCUAUAGAGAUCUAUAGGGGUCUAUAGGGGUCUGUAGGGGUCUAUAGAGAUCUAUAGGGGUCUAUAGGGGUCUGUAGGGGUGUGCAGGGGUCUAUGGGGAUAUAUAGGGGUCUAUAGGGGCUGUGUAGCUGUAUAGGGGUCUAUAGGGGUAUGUAUGGGUCUAUAGGGGUCUAUAGGGAUCUAUAGGGGUGUGUAGGGGUCUAUAGGUGUCUAUAGGUGUCUAUAGGUGUCUAUAGGGUCUCGUGCAGAGGGAUGUGGAACCCACCCAGCCCCUAUAGGAACACGUAUAGAUGGGUGUGGCGCCUAUAGACGGACGGAGGUGCGGGAGGCCGGGGUGUAGGGGGGUCUAUAGGGGUCUGUAGGGGUCUAUAGAGAUCUAUAGGGGUCUAUAGGGGUCUGUA